GCCGUAAACGAUGGGCACUAGGUGUGGGAGGUGUCGACUCCUUCCGUGCCGCCGUUAACACAAUAAGUACCCCGCCUGGGGAGUACGGUCGCAAGAUUAAAACUCAAAGGAAUUGACGGGGGCCCGCACAAGCAGCGGAGCAUGUGGUUUAAUUCGAAGCAACGCGAAGAACCUUACCUGGGCUUGACAUGGUCUGGACAGUCGUGGAAACACGGUCUCCCUUCGGGGCCGGAUCACAGGUGGUGCAUGGCUGUCGUCAGCUCGUGUCGUGAGACGUU
rnacentral:rRNA from 1 species